UACGAGUGCCUCAAGCGUUAUCCGGAAUCAUUGGGCGUAAAGAGCGUGUAGGCGGCUUGGUAAGUCCGCUGUGAAGGUCCAGGGCUCAACCCUGGAAUGCCGGUGGAAACUGUCAAGCUUGAGUCCGGAAGAGGCGAGUGGAAUUCCUGGUGUAGCGGUGAAAUGCGCAGAUAUCAGGAGGAACACCGAUGGCGAAGGCAGGUCUCUGGGCAUUAACUGACGCUGAGGAGCGAAAGCAUGGGGAGCGAACAGG
rnacentral:rRNA from 1 species